UAAAAACCUGUUUGUGAUUAAUAGUGGUAGAGAAGGUGCAGGGUCAGAGCUACCUGCUCUCUAGUGAAGCUGCUGCCAGUGAUUCUGUGGAAAUGGUGAAGGCUGCCAAAAAGUAACGCAUGAAUGAACAGUUCAGAGGCCCAGCAGUUCACAGAAAAGCAUCGCUUUCUGUCCAGGCAGCAGCAAGUUUAAAAUAGCCGCUUCCCUUUUCCGCACAUCAGGGCACAGUUCCAGAGGUUUUCAGGACUCUGGUACUUCCAACGGGGUUUUUGUUAGAAUCUGAAUUAUGAUAAGAUGGCUCUACCUACAUCUUCCAUCACAACUGGCUGUCAACUCGCUUGAAAGAUUCAGGCAGUGAUUAUUGCUGAAGACACCAUCUCUUUAAAGAGUAUAUUGUACAAUAAUGCAGUAAUUCUCCAUUUCAGUUGUGAAGGAGUAGGAGAGAUUUCAGCAAGCAUUUCAGUCUGAUGAAAUAGAAUUGAGAUUUCAGAUCCUGUGUACGACUGAACUUUUCUAAUGGAGCUGAAGCACCUCAGCUCUCCUGCAGAGACGGCAUCACCCAGCAGAACAGCAAACAGAGCAGGAAACAUCUGUGUGAGGCACAUCUGCCUCCUGCUCUCUGGCAAACGCUGUGACAAGGGGAAUCAUCCUGGCAUCCAGCAAGUGCCACCUCAUUUGUCACCGUGGUGCCUGUGCUGCCCCCACAGCUCCUUCUGUCUCACUUUCUCUGACCCUCGGCUCUGUACAAGUUCAUAAAAAAAGGGAUUUGUCUUCACAACUCCUGCAAUUCUCUUUAUUUUUGAAGUUUAUUUUUGAGGUUGGGCUAUCUGUUCUAUGUAGAGGGGCUUAAGGAGAAAGGCAGCAAUGUAUGACUUUAUAAAAUACUUUUUUUCACUUUUUCAGUUUGUCUGACUGAUGAUUCCUGCUCUUUCUGUCUCUCAUGAUUUACCUUCAUUAAAUGCUCUGAUCCAUGCCUAAAAAUUUUUCAUACAGGCCUCCUUCCUUUCUAAACAUUGCAUCUCUCUGCACUAAAUGAAGGCAGAAAAGAAAACCUUCCCAAGGUACAGUGUGAGGAAAGUGUGCAAGUGCAAACCCAG